GACGAACGCUGGCGGCGUGCUUAACACAUGCAAGUCGAACGGAAAGGCCCUGCUUUUGUGGGGUGCUCGAGUGGCGAAAGGGUGAGUAACACGCGAGUAACCUGCCCUUGACUUUGGGAUAACUUCAGGAAACUGGGGCUAAUACCGGAGAGGAGCUCCUGCUGCAUGGGGGGGGUUGGAAAGUUUCGGCGGUUGGGGAUGGACUCGCGGCUUAUCAGCUUGUUGGUGGGGUAGUGGCUUACCAAGGCUUUGACGGGUAGCCGGCCUGAGAGGGUGACCGGCCUCAUUGGGACUGAGAUACGGCCCAGACUCCUACGGGAGGCAACAGUGGGGAAUAUUGCACAAUGGGCGGAAGCCUGAUGCAGCAACGCCGCGUGCGGGAUGACGGCCUUCGGGUUGUACACCGCUUUCGCCUGUGCCGAAGCGUGAGUGACGGUAAUGGGUAAAGAAGCACCGGCUAACUACGUG
rnacentral:rRNA from 1 species